GCUCUAUCAAUGACGAUGAACUCAUCCAAUUGCACUUUAUUGGUAACAAUUUUACCAUCCGAGGAUACAUCCAAAUUACAGGAUUAGAACGAAAAGAAGAAACUACAGCAUCACAUAACUGCAGCAAAGAAGGUAAUGCAUGAGAUGGAACAGGGUCGUAUUAUGGAAGCGAAGAACAGAAUCCCUGAUGUUCCACGGAGUGUUUUCAGUUAAAGGUAAAAAAGGAAAAAAGAAGUCUGGAGCUCUCUUGGCUGUACAACAAAGAGGGGUUACUUCACAUACUCAUCAGCAGUGAGGCUAAUAUCAUCUCUAAUCAAGUGAAAAAGCAAGGGCGCAGCCUUAGUUUUCUGUUGGAAGACUUCUAUUUCUCUCAUUCCAGAGGUGCUAGCAUGUGCAAGCAGUGACAGUGUACUUUUUAUUGAUAUGAAUCUUCAGGCUUCAUUUUGAAAUUUUGGGCCACGAACGCUUGAUCGCAAAAGUAACAGGUAUCAUGAAAUUGCGGUGGCCAUCCGCGGAUCUACUGUUCCUGGUUUGCUUUGUCGAGUGUCCCGGGCAAGAGGACCAAGUGUGGGCGGGUAGGUAUCGGCAAGGCGGGCUGUCAGCACGGUGUUGGAGUUGGUCGGUAGUGGUGCACCUACGCCGUGU